CCUACGGGUGGCAGCAGUGGGGAAUAUUGGACAAUGGGCGAAAGCCUGAUCCAGCCAUGCCGCGUGUGUGAAGAAGGCCUUCGGGUUGUAAAGCACUUUCAGUGGGGAAGAAAGCCUUGGGGCUAAUACCCUCGAGGAAGGACAUCACCCACAGAAGAAGCACCGGCUAACUCCGUGCCAGCAGCCGCGUUAAUACGGAGGGUGCGAGCGUUAAUCGGAAUUACUGGGCGUAAAGCGCGCGUAGGCGGUCUGAUAAGCCGGUUGUGAAAGCCCCGGGCUCAACCUGGGAACGGCAUCCGGAACUGUCAGGCUAGAGUGCAGGAGAGGAAGGUAGAAUUCCCGGUGUAGCGGUGAAAUGCGUAGAGAGCGGGAGGAAUACCAGUGGCGAAGGCGGCCUUCUGGACUGACACUGACGCUGAGGUGCGAAAGCGUGGGUAGCAAACAGGAUUAGAUACCCCGGUAGUC
rnacentral:rRNA from 1 species